CACCGCCACCUUCACCAUUACCUUCAGAACCACCAGUAGUACCACCAGUAGCACCACCAGUAAUCUUCCCGGACCUGCGCCUCGCCACCGUUUUCCCCGUGAUCCAAAAGUUCAAGGCCAGCAUCACCUCCGACCCUCUUGGAAUCACCUCUACAUGGGUCGGUGGAGACAUCUGCAAAUACAAGGGCUUCUACUGCGACAACCCACCAGAUAACUCCACCUCCCUGGCACUUGCCGGCAUCGAUUUCAAUGGCUUCCAGCUGGCUGCACCUAGCCUGGAUGGCUUCAUUGAUGCCCUUCCUGAUCUAGCAAUCUUCCAUGCAAACACCAACUUCUUCAGCGGCAACAUCACCCCCAAAAUCGCCAAGC
rnacentral:lncRNA from 1 species